rnacentral:rRNA from 1 species
UACGAAGGGUCCAAGCGUUAUCCGGAUUUAUUGGGUUUAAAGGGUGCGUAGGCGGCCUAUUAAGUCAGUGGUGAAAGCCCGGAGCUCAACUCCGGAACUGCCAUUGAUACUGAUGGGCUUGAGUACAGUUGAGGUUGGCGGAAUGUGUCAUGUAGCGGUGAAAUGCUUAGAUAUGACACAGAACACCGAUUGCGAAGGCAGCUGGCUAAGCUGUUACUGACGCUGAGGCACUAAAGCGUGGGGAUCAAACAGG